rnacentral:rRNA from 1 species
GGGACGAACGCUGGCGGCGUGCUUAACACAUGCAAGUCGAACGAGAUCCAUUCAGUAGCAAUACUGAUGAAGGUCGAGUGGCGAACGGGUGAGUAACACGUGAGGAACCUAUCCUGGUCUCUGGGAUAACAGUCGGAAACAACUGCUAAUACCGGAUGCCGUCGGAGCGCUGCAUGGCGCACUGACGAAAGGGUUACUGGAUCAGGAGGGUCUCGCGGCCUAUCAGCUUGUUGGUGGGGUAACGGCCUACCAAGGCAUCGACGGGUAGCUGGUCUGAGAGGAUGAUCAGCCACACUGGGACUGAGACACGGCCCAGACUCCUACGGGAGGCAGCAGUGGGGAAUCUUGCGCAAUGGGCGAAAGCCUGACGCAGCAACGCCGCGUGCGGGAAGAAGGCCCUCGGGUUGUAAACCGCUUUCAGAAGGAACGAAACUGACGGUACUUUCAGAAGAAGGUGCGGCCAACUACGUGCCAGCAGCCG